UGGUGAUACAAAUAACGAAUGAUGUCACAUCAAAUAGGAACAGAGAAGGCAUGGUAUUACACAACAUAAAUAAAACCAGUCCAAAUGUAUGAAUGUUCCUUCAUCUGCUAUCUAAUACCUAGACAUUCUGAGGUUGUCAAAAUUAAAAAUAUUUAUCAUUGAUGACAAUCAAAUGUGUUCUAUACCAAGAAAGAACAGUUCAUUAAACACACAGCACAGCUUCUCUUCGGAUGCACAGGGC
rnacentral:lncRNA from 1 species